rnacentral:rRNA from 1 species
CCCUUCGAUGUUCUGGGCCGCACGCGCGCUACACUGAUGCGUUCAGCAAGCUCUCUAACCUUCACCGAUAGGUGUGGGUAAUCUUCUGAAAGCGCAUCGUGUUUGGGCUAGAUGAUUGCAAUUAUUCAUCUUCAACGAGGAAUACCUAGUAAGCGCAAGUCAUCAACUUGCAUUGAUUACGUCCCUGCCCUUUGUACACACCGCCCGUCGCUCCUACCGAUUGAACGAUCCGGUGAAAUCUCGGGACGGCGGCUUGGUCGCUUGCGUCCGACUGCUGAAACUUGAUUAAACCAUAUCAUUUAGAGGAAGGUGAAGUCGUAACA